GUAAUGGCUCACCAAGGCGACGACGGGUAGCCGGCCUGAGAGGGUGACCGGCCACACUGGGACUGAGACACGGCCCAGACUCCUACGGGAGGCAGCAGUGGGGAAUAUUGCACAAUGGGCGAAAGCCUGAUGCAGCGACGCCGCGUGAGGGAUGACGGCCUUCGGGUUGUAAACCUCUUUCAGUAGGGAAGAAGCGAAAGUGACGGUACCUGCAGAAGAAGCGCCGGCUAACUACGUGCCAGCAGCCGCGGUAAUACGUAGGGCGCAAGCGUUAUCCGGAAUUAUUGGGCGUAAAGAGCUCGUAGGCGGUUUGUCGCGUCUGCCGUGAAAGUCCGGGGCUCAACUCCGGAUCUGCGGUGGGUACGGGCAGACUAGAGUGAUGUAGGGGAGACUGGAAUUCCUGGUGUAGCGGUGAAAUGCGCAGAUAUCAGGAGGAACACCGAUGGCGAAGGCAGGUCUCUGGGCAUUAACUGACGCUGAGGAGCGAAAGCAUGGGGAGCGAACAGGAUUAGAUACCCUGGUAGUCCAUGCCGUAAACGUUGGGCACUAGGUGUGGGGGACAUUCCACGUUUUCCGCGCCGUAGCUAACGCAUUAAGUGCCCCGCCUGGGGAGUACGGCCGCAAGGCUAAAACUCAAAGGAAUUGACGGGGGCCCGCACAAGCGGCGGAGCAUGCGGAUUAAUUCGAUGCAACGCGAAGAACCUUACCAAGGCUUGACAUGAACCGGAAACACCUGGAAACAGGUGCCCCGCUUGCGGUCGGUUUACAGGUGGUGCAUGGUUGUCGUCAGCUCGUGUCGUGAGAUGUUGGGUUAAGUCCCGCAACGAGCGCAACCCUCGUUCUAUGUUGCCAGCGCGUGAUGGCGGGGACUCAUAGGAGACUGCCGGGGUCAACUCGGAGGAAGGUGGGGACGACGUCAAAUCAUCAUGCGGGGGGAUGGCUUGGGCUUCACGCAUGCUACAAUGGCCGGUACAAAGGGUUGCGAUACUGUGAGGUGGAGCUAAUCCCAAAAAGCCGGUCUCAGUUCGGAUUGGGGUCUGCAACUCGACCCCA
rnacentral:rRNA from 1 species